GCAUAAUACAGGUCCAUCGGUGCCCGUUGGGCCUAACAGGGAACACAGCGAAGGGAACACAGCGAAAACUGUGGCUGCCCCCGCAAUUGUACGCAGCGAGUCCGCGCUCCAUUGCCACUGGUUUUACCGGGAAGACCGGCGCGAAUAUAGACCUGCCAGCCAAGAGACCUGCCGACUCACCGCAUUCGCG
rnacentral:ncRNA from 2 species